rnacentral:lncRNA from 1 species
AUGUCUGAAAGGCUGUGGUCCAAGGCCAUUUUUGUUGGCUAUGAGCUGGGUCUCCAGAACCAAAGGGAAUGUGCAUCUCUCUUUUGAAUUGAAGGCGUUUAUGCCCAUGAUGAAACUUAACUUUAUUUGGGCAAGAGUUGUGUUUAUGUAUACAAUGCAAAGAACAACACAGUGACUCCUGGUAGUAAACCAAACAAAACCAGACCAAGAGUAAUCUUGAGAAAGGUAACUCCAGUGCAUGGAAACAAUGGCAUGGUUUGUGCCAAAUUCCAAAGCAAUCUUUUGGCUAAGGCCAUUGGACACAGAAUCUGUAUGAUACUGUACCCCUUAAGGAUUAAA